CGCACGGGUGAGUAACGCGUAUGCAACCUACCUCAAACUGGAGGAUAGCCCAGGGAAACUUGGAUUAAUACUCCAUAGUAUAUAUUUAUCGCAUGGUAGAUAUAUUAAAGUUCCGGCGGUUUGAGAUGGGCAUGCGUGUCAUUAGAUAGUUGGUGAGGUAACGGCUCACCAAGUCGACGAUGACUACGGGGUCUUAAAGGAUGGUCCCGCACACUGGUACUGAGACACGGACCAGACUCC
rnacentral:rRNA from 1 species